rnacentral:rRNA from 1 species
UAAUACGUAGGCAGCAAGCGUUGUUCGGAGUUACUGGGCGUAAAGAGUGUGUAGGCGGUUCUCUAAGUCUGGUGUGAAAUCUCCCGGCUCAACUGGGAGGGUGCAUUGGGAACUGGAGGGCUCGAGUAUGGGAGAGGAAAGCGGAAUUCCUGGUGUAGCGGUGAAAUGCGUAGAUAUCAGGAGGAACACCUGUGGUGUAGACGGCUUUCUGGACCAUCACUGACGCUGAGACACGAAAGCGUGGGGAGCAAACAGGAUUAGAUACCCUGGUAGUCCACGCCCUAAACGAUGCAUACUUGGUGUGAGCCAUUCAGUUGGUUCGUGCCGGAGCUAACGCGUUAAGUAUGCCGCCUGGGGAGUACGGUCGCAAGGCUG